GAUCAUUACUGAACUUAAGUAAUUCUCUUGAAAGGCCGCCGUCGGGUUUGGUCCCCCCCCCAAAAAGGGGGGCCGCCCCCGACGGUCCUCUCACACCCCUUGUGUACCUUACCACGUUGCUUUGGCGGGCCGACCCGGUUUCGACCCGGGCGGCUGGCGUGCCCCCAGCCCUCACCGGCCAGGACUCCCGGCCAAGUGCCCGCCAGUAUACAAAACUCCAGCGAUUAUUUCAGUGUAGUCCUGAUAAAUUAUUCAAUUAAUUAAAACUUUCAACAACGGAUCUCUUGGUUCUGGCAUCGAUGAAGAACGCAGCGAAAUGCGAUAAGUAAUGUGAAUUGCAGAAUUCAGUGAAUCAUCGAAUCUUUGAACGCACAUUGCGCCCUCUGGUAUUCCGGAGGGCAUGCCUGUUCGAGCGUCAUUUCAACCCUCAAGCUCUGCUUGGUAUUGGGCGACGUCCGGCUCCUUGCCGGACGCGCCUCGAAGACCUCGGCGACGGCGUCCAAGCCUCGAGCGUAGUAGUAAAAUAUCUCGCUUUGGAGGACUGGAUGUUGGCCGCCGGACAAUCGACCUUCGGUCUAUUUUACUUUCCAAGGUUGACCUCGGAUCAGGUAGGGAUACCCGCUGAACUUAAGCAUAUCAAUAAGCGGAGGAAAAGAAACCAACAGGGAUUGCCUUAGUAACGGCGAGUGAAGCGGCAAUAGCUCAAAUUUGAAAGCUGGCGUCUUCGACGUCCGCGUUGUAAUUUGUAGAGGAUGCUUCGGCGAGGACUCCUGCCUAAGUCCCCUGGAACGGGGCGUCACAGAGGGUGAGAAUCCCGUAUGUGGCGGGCGGUCCGAGCCAUGUGAAGCUCCUUCGACGAGUCGAGUUGUUUGGGAAUGCAGCUCUAAAUGGGAGGUAAAUUUCUUCUAAAGCUAAAUAUUGGCCAGAGACCGAUAGCGCACAAGUAGAGUGAUCGAAAGAUGAAAAGCACUUUGGAAAGAGAGUUAAAAAGUACGUGAAAUUGUUGAAAGGGAAGCGCUUGCAACCAGACUCGCUCGCAGUUGCUCAGCCGGCCUCUUGGCCGGUGUACUCUUCUGCGAUCGGGCCAGCAUCAGUUCGGGCGGCCGGAUAAAGGUGUCGGGAAUGUAGCACCCUUCGGGGUGUGUUAUAGCCCGGCGCGGAAUGCGGCCAGCCUGGACUGAGGAUCUC
rnacentral:rRNA from 1 species